rnacentral:rRNA from 1 species
AGCCAUGCAUGUCUAAGUAUAAGCAACUAUACAGUGAAACUGCGAAUGGCUCAUUAAAUCAGUUAUCGUUUAUUUGAUAGUACCUUACUACUUGGAUAACCGUGGUAAUUCUAGAGCUAAUACAUGCUAAAAAUCCCGACCUCUGGAAGGGAUGUAUUUAUUAGAUAAAAAACCAAUGCCUUCGGGCUCCUUGGUGAUUCAUGAUAACUUAACGAAUCGCAUGGCCUUGCGCCGGCGAUGGUUCAUUCAAAUUUCUGCCCUAUCAACUUUCGAUGGUAGGAUAGUGGCCUACCAUGGUUUCAACGGGUAACGGGGAAUUAGGGUUCGAUUCCGGAGAGGGAGCCUGAGAAACGGCUACCACAUCCAAGGAAGGCAGCAGGCGCGCAAAUUACCCAAUCCCGAUUCGGGGAGGUAGUGACAAUAAAUACUGAUACAGGGCUCUUUUGGGUCUUGUAAUUGGAAUGAGUACAAUUUAAAUCUCUUAACGAGGAACAAUUGGAGGGCAAGUCUGGUGCCAGCAGCCGCGGUAAUUCCAGCUCCAAUAGCGUAUAUUAAAGUUGUUGCAGUUAAAAAGCUCGUAGUUGAACCUUGGGUUUGGCUGCUCGGUCCGCCUAACCGCGUGCACUGAUGCGGCCGGAUCUUUCCUUCUGGCUAACCUCAUGCCCUUUACUGGGUGUGCUGGGGAUCCAGGACUUUUACUUUGAAAAAAUUAGAGUGUUCAAAGCAGGCCUUUNCUCGAAUACAUUAGCAUGGAAUAAUAGAAUAGGACGGCGGUUCUAUUUUGUUGGUUUCUAGAGCCACCGUAAUGAUUAAUAGGGAUAGUCGGGGGCAUCAGUAUUCAAUUGUCAGAGGUGAAAUUCUUGGAUUUAUUGAAGACUAACUACUGCGAAAGCAUUUGCCAAGGAUGUUUUCAUUAAUCAGUGAACGAAAGUUAGGGGAUCGAAGACGAUCAGAUACCGUCGUAGUCUUAACCAUAAACUAUGCCGACUAGGGAUCGGGCGGUGUUCAACUUAUGACCCGCUCGGCACCUUACGAGAAAUCAAAGUUUUUGGGUUCUGGGGGGAGUAUGGUCGCAAGGCUGAAACUUAAAGGAAUUGACGGAAGGGCACCACCAGAUGUGGAGCCUGCGGCUUAAUUUGACUCAACACGGGGAAACUCACCAGGUCCAGACACAUUAAGGAUUGACAGAUUGAGAGCUCUUUCUUGAUUAUGUGGGUGGUGGUGCAUGGCCGUUCUUAGUUGGUGGAGUGAUUUGUCUGCUUAAUUGCGAUAACGAACGAGACCUUAACCUGCUAAAUAGCCCGGCUAGCUUUUGCUGGUCGCCGGCUUCUUAGAGGGACUAUCGGCUCAAGCCGAUGGAAGUUUGAGGCAAUAACAGGUCUGUGAUGCCCUUAGAUGUUCUGGGCCGCACGCGCGCUACACUGACAGAGCCAACGAGUAUAACCCUUAGCCGAGAGGUUUAGGUAAUCUUGUUAAACUCUGUCGUGCUGGGGAUAGGGCAUUGCAAUUAUUGCCCUUCAACGAGGAAUAUCUAGUAAGCGCAAGUCAUCAGCUUGCGUUGAUUACGUCCCUGCCCUUUGUACACACCGCCCGUCGCUACUACCGAUUGAAUGGCUCAGUGAGGCCUUCGGACUGGCUCCAGGAGGUCGGCAACGACCACCCAGAGCCGGAAA